rnacentral:misc_RNA from 1 species
GAAAUGCGAUAAGUAGUGUGAAUUGUAGAAUUCAGUGAAUCAUCGAAUCUUUGAACGCACAUUGCGCCCUUUGGUAUUCCUUAGGGCAUGCCUGUUCGAGCGUCAUCUAAACCUUCAAGCCCUGCUUGGUGUUGGGUGCCUGUCCCGCCUCCGCGCGCGGACUCACCUCAAAUCCAUUGGCGGCCCCCGCGUCGGCCACGAGCGCAGCAGAAACGCGAACUCGUGAGCCCGUCCGAGCGGCUCCCAGAAGCUACACCCACCCAGUUUGACCUCGGAUCAGGUAGGGAUACCCGCUGAACUUAAGC